UGACGCACACCUGUAAUCCCUGCUACCCAAACUGAGAUGGGAAGACUGCUUGAGCACAGGAGUUCAUGACCAGCCAGGGCAACAUAGUGAGACCUCAUCUUAAAAACAAAAUCUCUCCAUACUAAAUCUCCCCACAGAGCACAACACACAGCACACAGUGCAUACACAGUGUGCACACAAAGUGCACAUAACACAUACACAAAGCACACAGCACACAGUGCGCACACACAUCACAGUGUGCGCACACACACCCUGCACACAUACAAAGCACACACACAGCACAUACACAAAGUGCACACACAGCACACAUGUGCAUGUGCACAUACACAUACACACAGCUACUAUUUCUAGAGUUGGCCAUUUUCUCCUGCUCCUGCUCAGCCUUGAACUGGCCUGAUGGUUAAACCGUAGUAUGCUGGCCAUUCUGCCGCUGCUAUGUCCUGACAAGUAUGACUAGGCCAACACAGGGAUCAUGGGAAGUGGCUAAUUAUCAGGCUUUCAGAAUAAAGUUCAAGGGCCUAAAAACUUAUCUAGAAAUUUUUUACUGGCCUUCUUUUUCUCUUCCUCCACCCCUGAAAUCGGGCUGUAUCUUAGGCCUACCAGUGGCCCUACAGGUACCACUUAACUCUUUGUAACUCUGGGGUCAAGGAUUUUGCUGACUUUCAUGAACACUAGCAUUGAGAGUGCCCUAGAGAAGCAGUGACUGUACGGGGUGCCCUGUUUUCUUGUGAAGAUCUGAGCAUGCUCCCCCCAGAGCUUCUUCCAAGGAUACAGCCUACCUCCCUUGGAGUUUCCCUUUACAUCUCCUAUAAGGAGACUAAAGGAAUGGGGCUUUAAGCUCUUUGAUAUAUUCUAAAGAGAGACUGCCAGGGAUAGAUGGGGUGUCUCCCAUCACAAGGGCCUUAAUUAGGUAUGUAGAUGGUCUUUUAUCCAUUAGGAGGCCAGUAUUUUCAGGCCAGCCACUGGUAAAUGAUAAUAAUUCUUGCCAUUUAUUGCUUGCUCAGGGACAUAAUAUCAUUUAUUCUUCACAACCACCCUCUGGUACAGACACUACUUCCUCAUUUUUCUCACAAGACAACUGAGAUUCAUAGAGGCCCUGUAACUUAUCGGAGCCCCAGAGCUAGCAAAUGGCAGGUGUAGGAUCGGAAACACAGGUUUCAAAGUCCAUGCACAAGAGGCAGAAUUACUUGUGCUUAUUCCGAUCCAGGCCUCUCUGGGCCAGUCAGUUCUUAUGAAGUUCACUUGGCUCCCAUAGCCUUCUGUUUACUAGCCUAUCUCACAAGAGUCAUCUCCCGCAGCAGCGUCAGUCUAAGGCAAAUGUGUCAACUAGAACUCUCUCAGGCCCUGCCUGGUAUCCCUGAAAUCACACUCUGAGUAAUAAUUAGGGCAUGUCUAACAUUUGUAGGCCUUUCCUGUUCAUAAGUAUUUCAACAUAUAUUAUCUACACAUAAGGUUGGUCCUGUUAGCAAUGUUUACAAAAUCAUUUGCAAUCAUUUAAUUGAAAAGUAAUACAAAACAAAAACAACUGUCCCACAGGAGAGAGGGGAUAGAGGAUGCCCACCUUUCCUGAAUGCCCACCACAUGCUGGGCACAAGCUCAGAGAGGCAAUAUAAUUUAUAAGAAAGAGGAGGAGCUUCAUAGUUGGAGAAAGCUGUCUUGAUUCCUGUCUCUGCCCCAGCUAGAAGACCUGAGACAGGUUACUUAACCUCCACAGGCCUUUGUUUCCUCAUCUGGGAAACAGUGCUAAUGACAGCAAUUUUUUUUUUUUUUUUUUUUUUUAGACAGAGUUUUGCUCUUGUUGCCCAGGCUGGAGUGCAAUGGCGCGAUCCUGGCUCACCGCAACCUCCGCCUCCCAGGUUCAAGCGAUUCUCCUGCCUCAGCCUCCCGAGUAGCUGGGAUUACAGGCAUGCGCCACCACGCCCAGCUAAUUUUUUGUAUUUUUAGUAGAGACAGGGUUUCACCAUGUUGGUCAGGCUGGUCUCGAACUCCUGACCUCAGGUGAUCUGCCCACCUCGGCCUCCCAAAGAUUACAGGCAUGAGCCACCACACCCAGCCCAGUGACAGCAAUUAUGAAGAGUUAUUGGGAAAAGUAAAUAAGAAAAUGCAAGCACCUAAAAAAUACGUAGAAAGAAAACACCCAGCACCAUGUGCAGCACAGAAUGGGCAUCAUUCUAUCAUGAUCAAGUCUCCUCUGCCUGAUUAAUCCUUCCAGCAUUGCUUUAGAUCAGUGAUUACAUGAGGCAGCAGGUUCUGAGAGGUAAAGUAACUUCUAAGAUCAUAAAACUAUGAAGUGGCAUAAAUCAGAAUAGUCUGAAUCUGGAGCUCAUGUCCAGGUUGUAACGUGGGAGUGCCUUGAAUGUGGAGAAGGGAAGAUUCUCAAACAUGUGGGUUUUUAAUCCCUUACAAUUUUUGACUACACUCUUAGUCCUGGCUUGGACACAAACUUUCCACCAGGCUCCCAAAAGCCCCAUUCUCAAGUCCAAGAAAUGUUCUUGUUAAAAAAAAAAAAAAAAGAAAGAAAGAAAAAAAACCCCCUCACCUACAGAUGAAGUUGGAAGAAGUGACAACCAGGACAGACUACUGAGCAUUUGAUGUAAAUCUUGUCAGGAGCCACACACACCAACUUUCUGUGCUCAGGGACCAGUGCAGUCUGUGUGGACCAGAACCAUAUGAAGUGGACUCAGGAGAUAGUCUCCAAGCCUGUCUCCUCAGAGUGAGCAGGCUAGGCUUCAGAAGAGAUGGCGUCUUGCUUUCCUGCCCAGGCUGGUCUCGAACUACUGGGUUCAAGUGAUCCUUCUGCCUUGGCCUCCCGAAGUGUUGGGAUUACAGGCAUGAGCCAUCACGCCCAGCCAAAACAGCGUUUUUAAAGCACUUCCCAGGAAUAGCACAACCACUUUGGAAAUCAGUCUGCCAAUUUCUUAUAAAACUAAACAUUCAUCUACCCUAUAACCCAGAAAUUCCAUCCUUAGGAAUUCACUCAAGCAAAAUGAAAACAUAUGUUCAUAAAAAGUCUUGUACAAAUACGUUCAUAGCAGCUUCAUUCAUAAUAGCCCCCAAACCUGUGGUAUAUCCACACAAUGGAAUGCUAUUCAUCAAUAAAGAGAAACAAAAUAUUAAUAUGUGCAACAACAUGGAUGAAUUUAAAAAAUACUAUGCUGAAUAAAAGAAGCCUUAUACAAGGGUACAUACUACAUGGUUCUAUUUAUAUGGAGUUCUUAGAAUAAAGUUAAUCUAUGAUAGAAAAAAAUCAGAGCAGUGGUUGCCUCUGUGGGGUACGGGGUGGGGAAUGGCUGGGAAGGGGGAAGAGGGAAUUUCUGGGGUGAUGUUGAUAGGGAUUUGUACUAUAUCAAUGCAUGCCUCUGUCAAAAUUUACAGAAUAGUGUUUUUCAAAUUUGUG
rnacentral:lncRNA from 1 species